UACGUAGGUGGCAAGCGUUAUCCGGAUUUACUGGGUGUAAAGGGCGAGUAGGCGGGAUUGCAAGUCAGAUGUGAAAACUAUGGGCUCAACCGAUAGAGUGCAUUUGAAACUGCAGUUCUUGAGUGAUGGAGAGGCAGGCGGCAUUCCCGGUGUAGCGGUGGAAUGCGUAGAUAUCGGGAGGAACACCAGUGGCGAAGGCGGCCUGCUGGACAUUAACUGACGCUGAGGCGCGAAAGCGUGGGGAGCAAACAGG
rnacentral:rRNA from 1 species